CAGUGGCCAUCCACGUUGCCACCACGAAACCUCGUCCGUGGAUUUUACGUGGAUGAGUUCCACGAACCUAUUUUGCCAUUUUUUCUAGUGCACUCAUUUGGAAAUACUUUCCCAUUCGAUAUUUGACCAUUUUUUAGCAGAUUUAGUUUGAAUUUUUGGGUUUUUAGGGUAAAAUUAACGUCCGUGGAACUCACGUGGAUGAUCCCCAAUUUCCCAAAUUGAGUUUUUGAAGCUCUUUUUGUGCCUAAAUUAUCGGUAAAUGAAUUAAGUGCUCCUCUAAAGCUAUUUAAUUUAAUUUUUUCUUAAUUUUUUUGUAAAUAUUACUUCGUGGAAGGGUCUCCGUGGAUGCUCCGUGGAUGUUCCGCGGACGAUCCCCGGAACUCCGUGGAUGCUCCGUGGAACUUACGUGGAUGAUCCCCAAUUUCCCCAGUCAUGUUUUUCAUUACUCUUUUGUGUCUAAAUUAUCAGUAAAUGAAUUUUAAGUGCUCAUCCAAAACUAGUUUAGUUGAUUUUUUUAAAUUUUGUAAAAUUCCCCAUCGUGGAAAAUUUUUCGUGGAUGCUCCGUGGAACUCACGUGGAUGAUCCCCAAUUUCCCUAAAUCGUGUCAUUAAAACAUUUUUUGUGUCUAAAAAUUAUCGGUAAAUGAAUUAAGUGCUCCUCCAAAGCUAGUUUAUUUAAUUUUUUAUUAUUUUUUAAAAUUUUACUCCGUGGAAAAGUCUUCGUGGAUGCUCCGUGGAACUCACGUGGAUGAUCCCCAAUUUCCCAAAAGCAUGUGUUUAUAAUCAAUAUAUGUGUCUGAAUAAUAAUCGGUAAAUGAAUUAAGUGCUUCUCCAAAACUAUUUGAUUUGAUUUUUCUUUAAAAUUUUGUGUAAUUUCACUUCGUGGAAAGGUCUCCGUGGAUGCUCCGUGGAUGAUCCGCGAAUGAUCCACGGAACUCUCUUAACGCAAAAAUGAAAAAUAGCAUGUAUUUGAAGCAAAUUGUUCAGUUCAUGAGCUGCCCCUUUUCGCUUUUUUAAAUUCAUUGGUCAUGUCAUUCUUGUUUAAAUUUCUAAAUUUUGGAAAUUGGUUAAGUGUCCGUGGAGUUUUCGUGGAUGAAUCCCCGGACACUUAAAACAUUUUUGGUUCGUUGGUAUUUCCUAUAGGUACGUUAAAUUGUUAGUAUUAUUUAAUAAACCAUCAUCAAAGUUAAUUGCUAGCUCAGAAAACUCAAUAUUUCCAAAUAUAUUCUGAAAUCUACACUCGCCACCUCGCCAGAAUAGCCGCAGCCGUGUUUCAAACUUUUGAAAAGCGCGCGCACUCUUACUGGCCGCAGCAAGCCAAUGAGCGCUGCCGCUUGCCUGUUGCUGUUUGUUGACAGACGACCGCGAGCGCGCGGACGCGCGAGCCGAGCGCAACGAAAAAGCCGUUGGACGACGCCGCCGCGUAAUUAGUGUCAGUUUUCGGCCACAAUUUCGCCACUAAGUCGACCAGCAAUGUUCUUAAGUCAGUGAUUGCAGUGAAAUCCGAAUCCUGUCCUGUUCAACCCUCCCAGCAAAGAUGCCGCAAAUCAAAGACCUGUGCCAGCGGCUGACUUUUUGUGUGACAACAAUGCAACUUGAGCAAGCUGUGUCCUGAAACUCUGCGAUGUGUAUGUAAUUAUUGAAAGGAUGUCUGGUUUGCAGCUUGGGUGCAAGAUCAAAACAAGCUAACAGGCUUGUAUACUUAUACUAUGGCUGAGGCAGAUCAGGCCGAGGAUGUCAGACACAGUCAUGGAUGGGAAAAGCUUCCAGCACGAUUGAUUCCAGCCUGCACUCAACUUAUGCCGCAUUUUCCAGUCUGGAGUCUGCUGGUGCUAAUUAUUACUUGGAUGGAAUAGAAGCGACUCCGGAGCUCAAGACGAAAAGCUACAUAAUUGUGUGACAGGAUUUGGAAUUGCUGGACCACACCUUUGAGGAAGAUUGAGUGAUUCAUGUGUAUUUUUGUUUUUGAGUGAGGCUAUUUUUGAACGACCGCCACCGGAGCCGCCUCAGCCAAAAGCUAAAUUGUUGUAUUUUAUAUAGAUUAUUCAUUUUAAGGCUAAUAUCUUUGGCAUACACAUACUUGUAUUCACUGUAAUAAUGUUGGUAUUAAACUUCAAUUAAAUACCAAACAUUAAUUUAGUGAAUACAGGUAUGUGUACAAUAAAUUUAUGUUUGAGCUGACAUUCAUUCAUUGAAUUUUCUUGCCAGAAACGUUUUGACAGCUGAAAAUUUUAUAUCAAAUAUUUGUUAUAGCCAUUAUAGGUUUUAAAUUGGCUAUUUGUGUAAGCCUUUCGAAGUCGGCGUAGCCGUAUACUUCCAUUUUAAAUUCCCAUCGACUGACGUCAAGUAUAUAAUCAUGCUGAUAUAUUUCAUGGGUUUGAAAUGAUUUAUUUUGAUUCUGAGAACCAAAAUCAGUUUAGCCAAUCUCCGUAGAAACAUGGAAAUAAUAUUUUUUUUUCAAAUCUGACGUUUCGAAGGUGAUUGGCUAGACUGACUUUUGCUUUUAGUACAUCAAAUCAAAUCAAUUAAAGGGUUUUGAAUGCAGAGCGGUAAGAUCAUGUGUCUUUAUUUUCUCAGUGGAAGUGCAUUAAAAUAAAAAAGUAACAGCUGGCACCAUUUUUCGGGAGCAAUAUUACACUUAGGGGUUUUCGAAGCUUGUGAAUGUUAAAAUUUUUAGAUUUCUUAAUUCAUUGUCUUCUCUUUUUUCUCAUAACCUUAUGGACACUUUACUGUAAAUUGAUAAAAUUCUCUGUAUUGAUCUAUUGUUACUGUGCAUGUGUCAUCUUUUUGUAAUCGAAAUUGUAUAAGUAAUAAAUACAAAUUUUAAAAUUCUAAUGAAUGAAUUCCAUUUGCGAUAUUAUUACCCAGAAAAAUGAAACACGAUCCACGAAAAAUCCCCAGCGAUUCCACGUAGCCGUUCCACGGGGAAUCUCCAUAGAUCAUCCCCGUGGAAUCUUCAUAGACUAUCCCCGUGGAAUCUUCAUAGAUCAUCCACGUGGAUACCACGUAUUUCGGGCGGACAAUUUCUACGGGGAAUCCACGUGGACCAUCCACGUGGUUUCCACGUGGGAUCCGUGGAUCAUCCACGUAGGAUCCCCGUGGAGUCCACGUGGAAUGGCCACUGG